GCCUGGGUGGCUCAGUCGGUUGAGCUCCUGACUUCAGCUCAGGUCAUGAUCUCACAGCUCGUGAGUUCAAGCCCCACGUCGGGCU
rnacentral:tRNA from 1 species